CGAACACUAGCUCAUCUGGUAGAGCAUCUGUUUAUGGGACAGACGGUAGUCGGUUCAAACCCGACGUGUUAACC
rnacentral:tRNA from 1 species